UCCUUGCCACCCAAGAGACAAUUAACUAUCCACGAUGGAUUCUUAUGAAGGAGUCCUUGUCUCCCAAGAGACAAUUAUUUAUGCGGGAUCCUCAUGAAGGAUAAUUUCCGCCUUACUAAUCCUUACAGUGGUGAGAAACAUGUUCAAGGUAUUCUAAAAAAAUAGUUCACUCAAGAAAAAAAGAAAAAGAAAUCCAUCUAAGUCCACCAUUUCAUUAAUCAAACCCUCAAUUGAAAAAAGUGAAAAAGAAAGCCCUUAAGGGUGCCAUUAAUCAUUACAAAAAAGGCCCUUAAGAGCAUGGUUACAAAAAAAUCCCCUAAGGGCAUGGUUACAAAAAGAAGCCACAAAGGGCAGAAAUAACGAAGCCUCAAACUCACCGGCCUUCCUUCGAAACUCACAUUUCUUCGGGAAUGUUCUAUUGGCGAGCAUAAUACUCCUAGGGAAUUUUCUCCUCAUCUCCUUGUAACCUUCAGGUUUAGUCUAAGUUCGCCCAUCAAGAGAUAUGCAGACUCAUUGGGAGGCGGAACC
rnacentral:lncRNA from 1 species